rnacentral:misc_RNA from 1 species
UUUGUGGAAGCAAUCCGAACUGCAAUGUAUCACGAUCGCAACAUGCAGAGAACUUUUCAUGCAAUACUUUUACUCGCAAUUUUAAAUCGAGUUGCUGGAUGGAAUUCGUCUUACCAGUUGGUGACUCCUUCGAUGACCCUUACCAGCAAGACACUAGUAAAAUUGCAAACUACUCAACACGUUUUUACUUCUUCUGUGGUUGUGGAAGGUUCUUCAACUUCUUCGAUGACUUCUAACAUUACAUUAUCACUUGUACGAUGGCAAACUCCUCAACAGGUUAUGACUACUUCCGUGGUUAUGAAAGCCUCUGCAAAAUUACCAACCAGUCCUCGACACAGCAGUGAGUCACCUUUACCAACGUUUACUGAUCAGCCGUCUUCUACCUGCGUUUGUCCAAGCUCAUCAGCUGUUUAUUCGUCCUUGAAGUUUCCUGAGUCUUCCCCAGUAAAUGACUCUCAAAUGCCCUAUUCUCCAUCUGAAGCAAUUGCCACUCAGAUCUACAAUUUAAAUGCCUCGCAAUUCCAAAGUCAAGGUGUAAUAUCUACAACACGUCUAUUUUCAAAGCAGACCCAAUUGGCCACCUGCGUGUGUCCGUCUGUGAGCAAGUCCAUGAUUCCUGCACAGUCAUCGGCGGCGCCAGAGGCAACACAAAGUCCGACAGGAACAACUCCGAAGCGUAAGUACUGACAUCAAAACCAGAAAAAAUAAAUCAAAAGACAAUCUUAGAAAUGGAAAAAAACAAAAAACAAAACAAAAUAAAAAGCCAGGAAUUUAAAACAUAAAGUCUUUUUGCGCGAGAAAUGGAUUUAGAAAAAAAGUUCGAAUAUACUAUGGUUCUAUUUAAAAAAUGUAUUGAAGCCCUAUGAUAAUUAUAUUGCCAUGUAAUUGCAUAUUUUUCCAUUUCUCCCUAAUUUUUUUAGCGCACACGACAAAGCCACCGGCUACAACGGACACAACAGAGCCACCU